rnacentral:tRNA from 1 species
AAGACUUUAGUUAAAUUCAUAAUAAGGACUUGUCGAGUCCUAGUUACAUAAAAGUAAGUCUUA